CAGGUGGUACCAUGCAUGCAAUCAUACAGAAAUGUGAGAGACCAUGGAGAAUUGUCUACUGACAGAAAUCACUAAAAUGUUAAGGAAUUCUUUAAAGGCCAACCAUGUGAUCAAUAUCAGUUUAAAAUAGGUCCCCUGACAUGACAGAGGUUCACAUUCACUUUCUACAAGCUUCUGCUGCAUGGUAAUGAGAAAGACUGGGGCAAGAGACUGGAGAGAAGAGACCUCUCAGUGACACAGGCAUGCAUGGAAUGACAGGCUGACAGGUGUGAAACUCUGCCUGCUUCCUCAGACCUUUCUCUUGUACAAAGCAAAAGCCAUAAGCCACUGGAGAAGAGAUGACAAACCUUCCUGCCCUAAUGGCCUAGGCGGAGAUCCACUGCUCUUGAAGGAGAUGUAAAAGCAAAAACCUUUUGCCCUUGAGAAAGGCAGAAAAUCUUGUGGGCCCAGGAUCCUGUGCCAAUACCAAGCAGAGAUCCACUCUCACUAGAAGUGUGGAAAAUCUCUCCUGUUCAAGAAUUCCAAAAACUGAUAAGCAUAUAAUUCAAAUUGUAAUAACGCAGUGAAGGAGAUGUAAAGGGAAGUGAUUAGAGAAUAAUCAUGAUCGGAGGACCACCUACUCAAGUGCAAUGGCGAGGAACUGUUUUUGUCAAUGUGAAUAAAAUAGCCCCUGUCUUCAUGGAACUUACAUUCUAGUGCAGAGAUACAACCUCAUCAGCUACCCAGUUCUUUGUGCCAUGAAACUCCUUCCGAAUGUCUGGUUUAUUGUACUGAGAGUGACUAUUACAUCUGAAUCACUUCUCCAAAGUUACCAGGAUAAAACUCUAA